AGAGGGAGCGCCAGAUCCUGGGCUGUGUCCCCCGGCACCCUGGGCUCCUGGGCCUAGGCCGCCAGAAUCACGCUCCCAGACCUGUGCAGCCCCCU
rnacentral:pre_miRNA from 1 species